rnacentral:rRNA from 1 species
UACGUAGGGUGCUAGCGUUGUCCGGAAUUAUUGGGCGUAAAGAGCUUGUAGGCGGUUUGUCGCGUCUGCCGUGAAAGCCCAGGGCUUAACCCUGGGUCUGCGGUGGGUACGGGCAGACUAGAGUGUGGUAGGGGAGACUGGAAUUCCUGGUGUAGCGGUGGAAUGCGCAGAUAUCAGGAGGAACACCGGUGGCGAAGGCGGGUCUCUGGGCAGUAACUGACGCUGAGGAGCGAAAGCGUGGGGAGCGAACAGG